GGUUGUAGGGCCGCCGGACGUGAUUCUGGAGUAGGCAGGAGAAGUCGGCUGGAAAGCCGCGCCGGAGCGAGUGAAAGCCUCGUAUCCGAAACCGAAAAGGACACAGGCGGUACCUGAGUACCGCUGGGCACGAGAAACCCCGUGGGAAUCCGGGAGGACCAUCUUCCAAGGCUAAGUACGAAUCAGCGACCGAUAGUGAACCAGUACCGUGAGGGAAAGGUGAAAAGAACCCCUGUCAGGGGAGUGAAAGAGAAUCUGAAACCUGUUGCUUACAAGCUGUGGGAGCCACAUAACGGUGGUGACCACGUGCCUUUUGCAUAAUGAGUCAGCGAGUUAAUCUGUCGUGCGAGGUUAAGCGAGAGCGGAGCCGUAGCGAAAGCGAGUCUGAUAAGGGCGACAAGUACGGCGGAUUAGACCCGAAACCGGGUGAUCUAUCCAUGAGCAGGUUGAAGCAAGGGUAAAGCCUUGUGGAGGACCGAACCAGUAUCGGCUGAAAACGAUUUGGAUGACUUGUGGAUAGGGGUGAAAGGUCAAUCAAACCCGGUGAUAGCUGGUUCUCCCCGAAAUAUAUUGAGGUAUAGCCUCGGGGAUUGUCUGUCGGAGGUAAAGCACUGACAAGGCUAGGGGUCCUACCAGAUUACCAAACCUUUUCAAACUCAGAAUGCCGACAAGAUGUACCCCGGGAGUCAGACGGCGGGUGCUAAGGUCCGUCGUCGAGAGGGUAAGAGCCCAGAUCGACAGCUAAGGUCUCGAAAUCCAUGCUCAGUGGUGAAGGUGGUGGAGUUGUACAGACAGCCAGGACGUUGGCUUAGAAGCAGCCAUCGUUUAAAGAAAGCGUAAUAGCUCACUGGUCUAAUGACUCUGCGCCGAAAAUGUAACGGGGCUAAGCAUGGUACCGAAGCUUCGGAUUCCUCUUUUGAGGAGUGGUAGGGGAGCGUUCUCUAUGGGCAGAAGCUGCAUUGUAAAGUGCGGUGGACGAUAGAGAAGUGAUUAUGCUGACAUGAGUAACGAUAAAACAGGUGAAAAACCUGUUCGCCGAAAACCCAAGGUUUCCUGGGUAAAGUUAAUCUUCCCAGGGUGAGUCGGACCCUAAGGCGAGGGCGAAAGCCGUAGCUGAUGGAAAACGGGUUAAUAUUCCCGUACUUCUUAUGGUGUGCGAUGGAGGGACGCAGAAAGAUAGGUGGGCCAACUGUUGGAUGUUGGUGCAAGCUGGUAGGAAUGCCUCGCCGGCAAAUCCGCGAGGUGAAUCCGAGAAGCGAGUCCGUGGGCGCAAGCCCUGAAGCCAUUGAGUCUCCGCUGCCAAGAAAAGCUCCUAAGUUUAGCCAUGAGGAUCCGUACCGCAAACCAACUCAGGUGGGUGGGAUGAAUAAUCCGAGGCGCUCGAGAGAACUCUGGCCAAGGAACUCGGCAAAAUGACCCCGUAACUUCGGAAGAAGGGGUGCUUUUUCAGGUGACCAUUUUUACAUUGGAAGCCGGAGGAAGCCGCAGUGAAUUGGGGGUGGCGACUGUUUACUAAAAACAUAGGUCUGUGCGAAGUCGCAAGACGACGUAUACGGACUGACGCCUGCCCGGUGCCGGAAGGUUAAGAGGAGAGGUCAGCGCAAGCGAAGCCUUGAAUCGAAGCCCCGGUAAACGGCGGCCGUAACUAUAACGGUCCUAAGGUAGCGAAAUUCCUUGUCGGGUAAGUUCCGACCUGCACGAAUGGCGUAACGAUCUCCACACUGUCUCGGCCAGAGACUCGGUGAAAUUGAAGUCGCGGUGAAAAUGCCGUGUACCCGCAGAAAGACGGAAAGACCCUGUGCACCUUUACUAUAGCUUGACAUUGGAUUUUGGGCCUACAUGUGUAGGAUAGGUGGGAGGCAAUGAAAUCUGUACGCCAGUAUGGAUGGAGCCACUGUUGAAAUACCACCCUUGUAUGUCUAAGGUCCUAACUCCACGCAGUGAACCUGCUGGAAGACAUUGUCUGGUGGGUAGUUUGACUGGGGCGGUCGCCUCCUAAAGAGUAACGGAGGCAUGCAAAGGUUCCCUCAGGCUGUUCGGAAACCAGCCGUUGAGUGCAAACGCAUAAGGG
rnacentral:rRNA from 1 species